rnacentral:tmRNA from 1 species
ACUGCUGUCAGAAUGACAACGUCCGGUCUCGACCGGACUAGGUGAUCCACACCAGUGUUCCGGACAGCGGUUCGAUUCCGCUCAGCUCCAUUCCCCCUUCUCGGGGCUGCAAUGGUUUCGACGGGGCAUAAGGAGGGUGACUGAAGCCUGCUCGGUAAGAGCAAACCCGUAACUGCGAACAACAUCGUUCGUUUCUCCCGUCAAGCAGCCCCUGUUGCUGCCUGACCCUUAAGGGAGAUGGGGUGAAGUCAGCCUUAUCACCCAAUUGACUCGCGGGGGCUGGAAGGCCCCCUCAACUAUUGCAAUCACUGGAGUC